AUGUAAUUGCUGCAGUUUGGGCCACUCAGCCGACCACUUACCCACAUUAUGGUGCCGCAAACAACGCCAUAGAUGGAAACUUUGACAUGAGCUAAGUCACUCGUCGUGUAGCUGCACCGGCCGACAGUGCUGCCCCUGGUGGAGAGUGGAUCUGCAGAAACACUACCGGCUCUUCAUCGUCAACAUCAUCAAUGUGAACCGCAGAACCAACAGACUGAACGGAGCCGAGAUCCGCAUUGGAGGCUCGCUGGAGAACAACGGGAACAACAACACUCUCUGCGCAAAGAUCAAUUACAUCCCCACCGGAAACACCGCCAGCUUCUACUGUGCCGAGGUGUGGGGUUUUUCUCACCCUGUGCGAGGUGCAGGCGUUCGGAGCGCACGACCCUCACCGAUCCAGUCCAGAACCACUUUGUGCUUUCGGCUUGUGCAACCGGUUCAAAUUGUGAACGGAUCCACCUCCAUAUCCCACGCUAUUCCGGGUUGUCCUCGCUUCACGCAGCAAUUUAACAGCGAUGGUGGAUGUGAGACCGGCGAGUGUCCUCCCUCCAUUCACUGCCUGUAUUGAGGUUUCCAUUCUCUGGGCCUACGUGCAGAUUACAAUUCGAGCUUUUUCUGUCAGUUUAAACCAGCUGUCUGUAAA